rnacentral:rRNA from 1 species
AUUGAACGCUGGCGGCAUGCCUUACACAUGCAAGUCGAACGGCAGCACGGGAGCAAUCCUGGUGGCGAGUGGCGAACGGGUGAGUAAAGUAUCGGAACGUGCCCAGUCGUGGGGGAUAACGUAGCGAAAGUUACGCUAAUACCGCAUACGAUCUAUGGAUGAAAGCGGGGGAUCGCAAGACCUCGCGCGAUUGGAGCGGCCGAUUUCAGAUUAGGUAGUUGGUGGGGGAAAGGCUCACCAAGCCGACGAUCUGUAGCUGGUCUGAGAGGACGACCAGCCACACUGGACCUGAGAGACGGCCCAGACGCCUACGGGGGGCAGCAGUGGGUAAUUUUGGACAAUGGGCGAAGGCCUGAUCCAGCCAUGGCGCGUGCAGGAUGAAGACCUUCGGGUUGUAAACUGCUUUUGUACGGAUCGAAAAGGUUUGGCCUAAUAAGCUGAGCUCAUGACGGUACCGUAAGAAUAAGCACCGGCUAACUACGUGCCAGCCGCCGCGGUAA